GAUGAAGAACGUAGCGAAAUGCGAUAAGUAAUGUGAAUUGCAGAAUUCAGUGAAUCAUCGAAUCUUUGAACGCACAUUGCGCCCCUUGGUAUUCCGAGGGGCAUGCCUGUUCGAGCGUCAUUAUAACCCCUCAAGCUCAGCUUGGUGUUGGGGCCUGCUGCACUGGCAGCCCUUAAAAUCAGUGGCGGCGCCAUCUGGCUCUAAGCGUAGUAAUUCUUCUCGCUAUAGAGUCCUGGUGGAUGCUUGCCAUCAACCCCCAAUUUUUCUAUGGUUGACCUCGGAUCAGGUAGGGAUACCCGCUGAACUUAAGCAUAUCAAUAAGCGGAGA
rnacentral:misc_RNA from 1 species